UACAUGUACGUUCAUGGGAUGUAGCCU
rnacentral:piRNA from 1 species